rnacentral:rRNA from 1 species
CUCUGUGUUACGGGAUGAAUUGGAUGUUGCCGAUAAAGCAACGUUUUUGACGUUACCGUAGUAGAAAGCCCCAGCUAACUACGUGCCAGCAGCUGCGGUAAUACGUAGGGGGCAAGCGUUGUCCGGAAUCACUGGGCGUAAAGCGCGCGUAGGCGGUGGAGUAAGUCAGACGUGAAAGGGUUCGGCUCAACCGAGCCAUUGCGUUUGAUACUACCUCACUUGAGUCUAGAAGAGGAAAGUGGAAUGUAUGGUGUAGCGGUGGAAUGCUUAGAUAUCAUAUAGAACACCCGUGGCGAAGGCGGCUUUCUGGUCUAAGACUGACGCUCAUGCGCGAAAGUUUGGGGAGCAACCGGGAUUAGAUACCCCGCUAGUCCUUACUGUAAACGAUGGGUACUAAGUGUAGGGGGAUUCAAUCCCUCUGUGCUGUAGCUAACGCAUUAAGUACCCCGCCUGGGGAGUACGGCCGCAAGGUUAAAACUCAAGGUAAUUGACGGGGGGCCGCACAAGCGGUGGAGCAUGUCGCUUAAUUCGAAGCAACGCGAAAAACCUUACCCGGGCUUGACAUCGCAGUGACCGCUAUAGAAAUAUAGUUUUCCUUCGGGACACUAUGACAGGUGCUGC